rnacentral:rRNA from 1 species
AUGGCACAUAGAGAAAGCAGGAGGAAAUUUGUACCCCGCAAGGCUGGCGAAGUCUACACAAUAUGUAGGCAGAGUAGAGGUAGUAGUUACGGGCUCAGGUGUGGCAAUCACAAUCAAUAUUCCCUUAUGGGGUUGGUGGAGUUGGUAGAAAGCACGGCUGGCGAUAGGAUGAUACUAGUUUCAUUCUUGCUAUUCCAAAAUCCAAUGCCCGGAACUGGUAAAUCAAACAAUGUAGGCACACAUUGGCAUGGUUCUGUAAAUAAGAGAUGUCUCAUCUGGAUGAGCUAUCGCAGUCAGUCUUUCUCUACCUUUCUUAGUAGCAGAUUCAACAUGGUUUUAUUAAACUUUAAGCAAUCAGGGUUAAGCUAG